UACGGGGGGAGCAAGCGUUGUUCGGAUUUACUGGGCGUAAAGGGCGCGUAGGCGGCGCAACAAGUCACUUGUGAAAUCUCCGGGCUUAACCCGGAGCGGUCAAGUGAUACUGUCGUGCUAGAGUGCGGAAGGGGCUACUGGAAUUCUCGGUGUAGCGGUGAAAUGCGUAGAUAUCGAGAGGAACACCUGCGGCGAAGGCGGGUAGCUGGGCCGACACUGACGGUGAUGCGCGAAAAGCCGGGGAGCGAACGGG
rnacentral:rRNA from 1 species